rnacentral:lncRNA from 1 species
UUCUCUGCCUCCCAUCAAAACCUCCACCCACCCCGCCCUCCUUCUCUUCUCCGGCGUCGUCGGCCGCGGUGCCUGGAUCCAGCGAAGUUGUGCCUCCAUUUCUCCUCAUAUCUCAACAGAUUUUCACCUCACUUCUUCUCAUCCCUCAAUUUCUCAGUUCGUGCCCUAGAUCUUCUUCCAAAAUGUUAGUCACCUCAAGGAUCUCCGGCACGAUUAGCUCCGGCGAGGCUGGCUGCCGUCGCCUCUGAAAUUGGCGAGGCAAUCGUCAUCCCCUGUUCUCACCUACUCAUUCACACGCACACGACGAAGACAAGGGUUGAGCCCUGACCUCUCGGCUCGACUGCUGCCGCUCUGUAUCACGAGAGCCUUCGCCGUCGGCGCUGGGCUCUAAAAUUGGUGAGGCCGUCGCGCUCCCCUCCCCGUGUUCGUCCG